rnacentral:rRNA from 1 species
UGGGGAAUUUUGGACAAUGGGCGAAAGCCUGAUCCAGCAAUGCCGCGUGUGUGAAGAAGGCCUUCGGGUUGUAAAGCACUUUUGUCCGGAAAGAAAUCCUUGGCUCUAAUACAGUCGGGGGAUGACGGUACCGGAAGAAUAAGCACCGGCUAACUACGUGCCAGCAGCCGCGGUAAUACGUAGGGUGCAAGCGUUAAUCGGAAUUACUGGGCGUAAAGCGUGCGCAGGCGGUUUGCUAAGACCGAUGUGAAAUCCCCGGGCUCAACCUGGGAACUGCAUUGGUGACUGGCAGGCUAGAGUAUGGCAGAGGGGGGUAGAAUUCCACGUGUAGCAGUGAAAUGCGUAGAGAUGUGGAGGAAUACCGAUGGCGAAGGCAGCCCCCUGGGCCAAAUACUGACGCUCAUGCACGAAAGCGUGGGGAGCAAACAGGAUUAGAUACCCUGGUAGUCCACGCCCUAAACGAUGUCAACUAGUUGUUGGGGACUUCAUUUCCUUAGUAACGUAGCUAACGCGUGAAGUUGACCGCCUGGGGAGUACGGUCGCAAGAUUAAAACUCAAAUGAAUUGAC